GACGAACGCUGGCGGCGUGCUUAACACAUGCAAGUCGAACGGUAAGGCCCCAGCUUGCUGGGGUACACGAGUGGCGAACGGGUGAGUAACACGUGGGUGACCUGCCCCGCACUUCGGGAUAAGCCUGGGAAACUGGGUCUAAUACCGGAUAGGACCGCACCGUGAGGGUGUGGUGGAAAGUUUUUCGGUGUGGGAUGGGCCCGCGGCCUAUCAGCUUGUUGGUGGGGUAAUGGCCUACCAAGGCGGCGACGGGUAGCCGGCCUGAGAGGGUGGACGGCCACAUUGGGACUGAGACACGGCCCAGACUCCUACGGGAGGCAGCAGUGGGGAAUAUUGCACAAUGGGCGAAAGCCUGAUGCAGCGACGCCGCGUGAGGGAUGACGGCCUUCGGGUUGUAAACCUCUUUCAGCAGGGAAGAAGCGAAAGUGACGGUACCUGCAGAAGAAGCACCGGCUAACUACGUG
rnacentral:rRNA from 1 species